rnacentral:rRNA from 1 species
CGCGUAGGCGGCUGUGCAAGUCGGAGGUGAAAUCCCUCGGCUCAACCGAGGAACUGCCUCCGAUACUGCAUGGCUUGAGUCCCGGAGAGGGUAGCGGAAUUCCCAAUGUAGCGGUGAAAUGCGUAGAUAUUGGGAGGAACACCGGUGGCGAAGGCGGCUACCUGGACGGGUACUGACGCUGAGGCGCGAAAGCGUGGGGAGCAAACAGGAUUAGAUACCCUGGUAGUCC